AGUUUGAUCAGUGGCUCAGAGCGAACGCUGGCGGCAGGCCUAAUACAUGCAAGUCGAACGGUUGUAGCAAUACAGCAGUGGCAGACGGGUGAGUAACACGUGGGAACCUUCCUAGGGGUACGGAACAACUCAGGGAAACUUGAGCUAAUACCGUAUACGUCCGUGAGGAGAAAGAUUUAUCGCCCUUAGACGGGCCCGCGUCGGAUUAGCUAGUUGGUGGGGUAACGGCCUACCAAGGCGACGAUCCGUAGCUGAUCUUAGAGGAUGAUCAGCCACACUGGGACUGAGACACGGCCCAGACUCCUACGGGAGGCAGCAGUGGGGAAUCUUGGACAAUGGGCGCAAGCCUGAUCCAGCCAUGCCGCGUGAGUGAAGAAGGUCUUCGGAUUGUAAAGCUCUUUUGCCAGGGACGAUAAUGACGGUACCUGGAGAAUAAGCCCCGGCAAACUUCGUG
rnacentral:rRNA from 1 species